GAUGAACGCUGGCGGCGUGCCUAACACAUGCAAGUCGAGCGGCAGCGAGGGGUGCUUGCACCCUGCCGGCGAGUGGCGGACGGCUGAGUAACGCGUGGGAACGUGCCCCAAAGUGAGGAAUAACUGCCCGAAAGGGUAGCUAAUACCGCAUAUUAUCUUCGGAUCAAAGGAUUUAUCCGCUUUGGGAGCGGCUCGCGUCGGAUUAGGUAGUUGGUGAGGUAAUGGCUCACCAAGCCGACGAUCCGUAGCUGGUCUGAGAGGAUGACCAGCCAGACUGGAACUGAGACACGGUCCAGACUCCUACGGGAGGCAGCAGUGAGGAAUCUUCCACAAUGGGCGAAAGCCUGAUGGAGCAACGCCGCGUGCAGGACGAAGGCCUUCGGGUUGUAAACUGCUUUUAUAAGUGAGGAAUAUGACGGUAACUUAUGAAUAAGGAUCGGCUAACUACGUG
rnacentral:rRNA from 1 species